UACGUAGGGGGCAAGCGUUGUCCGGAAUCAUUGGGCGUAAAGCGCGUGUAGGCGGCUCGGUAAGUCUGCUGUGAAAGCCCAGGGCUCAACCGUGGGAUGCCGGUGGAUACUGUCGAGCUCGAGUCCGGAAGAGGCGAGUGGAAUUCCUGGUGUAGCGGUGAAAUGCGCAGAUAUCAGGAGGAACACCGGUGGCGAAGGCGGCUUUCUGGACAGAUACCGACGCUGAGGCACGAAAGCUAGGGGAGCAAACAGG
rnacentral:rRNA from 1 species